rnacentral:rRNA from 1 species
AGAGUCUGAUCAUGGCUCAGAAUGAACGCUGGCGGCGUGCCUAAUACAUGCAAGUCGAACGAGGACCUUUGUACUCGUACGAAGGUGUCCAGGUGGCGAACGGGUGAGUAACACGUAGGUGACCUGCCCCGAAGAGGGGGACAACCCCGGGAAACUGGGGCUAAUACCCCAUGACCUCCAGGGAGUUAGAGGGCCCUGGAGCAAAGGAGCAAUCCGCUUCGGGAGGGGCCUGCGGCCCAUCAGCUAGUUGGUAGGGUAAUGGCCUACCAAGGCGACGACGGGUAGGGGACCUGAGAGGGUGGCCCCCCACACUGGCACUGACACACGGUCCAGACAUCUACGGAUGGCUGCAGUAGGGAAUAUUGCCCAAUGGUCGAAAGCCUGAGGCAGCAACGCCGCGUGCGCGAUGAAGGCCUUCGGAUUGUAUAGCGCUUUUCUGGCGGAAGAGGAAGGACGGUACCCCAUGAAUAAGUCUCGGCUAACUACGUGCCAGCAGCCGCGGUAAAACGUAGGAGGCAUGCGUUAUCCGGAUCUACUGAGCGUAAAGCGCGUGUAGGCGGUUUGGUAAGUCAGACGUGAAAGCUCCCGGCUCAACUGUGAGACGCCGUUCGAUACUGCCAGGCUAGAGGGCAGUAGAGGGAGGUGGAAUUCUGGGUGUAGCGGUGAAGUGCGUAGAUAUCCAGAGUAACACCGGUGACGAAGGCGUGCCUCCUGGUCUGUCCCUGACGCUCAGACGCGAAAGAUAGGCUAGCGAACGACAUUAGAUACCCCGCUAGUCCUAGCCGUAAACGAUGCAUACUUGAUGUUGGUGGUUUACAAACCUUCAGAGCCGAAGCUAACGCUGUAAGUCUGCCGCCUGGGGGCUUCGGUCGCAAGGCUAAAACUCAAAGGAAUGCACGGGGCGCCGCACAAGCAGCGGAGCGUGUGGUCUACUUCGAGCCUACGCGAAGAUCCUUUCCUGGGUUCGUCAUGCACGUAGUAGGGAUCCGAAAGGUGGCCGACCCUUCGGGGAGCGUGCACAGCUGCUUCAUGGCUGUCGUCAGACUCGUGGCGUGAGGUGUCCGGUUAAGUCCGGUAACGAGCGCAACCCUUCCCCUGUGAUUCAAGCGUCACAGGGGACCUCCCGGAUAAAACCGGAGGAAGGUGGGGAAGGCGUCAAAUCACCCUGGCCCUUAUAUCCCGGGCUUCCCCCCCUCUUCCAUGGCCGGUCCCAUGGGUUGCGAACCCGCGAGGUGGAGCCAACCCUCCAAAACCGGUCUCAGUUCGGAUUGUAGGCUGCAACUCGCCUGCAUGAAGUCGGAGUUGCUAGUAACCGCAGAUCAGCAGUGCCGCGGUGAAUACGUUCCCGGGGCUUGUACACCCCGCCCGUCACGUCAUGGAAGCUGGCAACACCCGAAGUCGGUUCCCUAACCGCAAGGAGGCAGCUGCCUAAGGUGGGGCUGGUAACUGGGGCGAAGUCAGUAACAAGGUAACC